CAGCCUGUCCUGCUGCUGCCCUGAGCUGCAUCCUCUCUGGAAGCCAUGAAGCUCAGAGUGGUGCCACCACUUCCCUGCAUCUCUCUGCAUCCAGUGAUCAGCAUGACAAACACCUGCUGCUUGUUUGCUCUCUUGUCCCAUCCCCAAGCAGUGGUGUGCACACAGAUGUCUUCUGUUUAAACAAGCAAAACAUAAUAUUUUGUUUGUUUUUUUAACCUACAGAUCUUUUAAGUGGAUGUCAUUAAGCCUUUAUAGUGGAAGUGAAGUCUGUGAGGUGUGAGGGAAGAAGCAGCUGAAAAGAUAGGGGGACAGAGGAGUGAGGGGAACCUCUUCAGUUCUCCACUCUCCAUACCACAGAGCAGCUCCACCUGUAGCUCACAGAGGAGAGAAAACCACAUGGAAACAGCAGCAGAAGAUGCAUCUUAACUGACCUCUGAAAAGCUCAGAGACUGCUUGGAAGUCAAAGGCACAAACACAGGCUCUCUGGCUGGAUCCAGGAACACUGCCUUGGUGGAAACCUGCACUUAGAAAUUAAUGAAAACCUUCUGCAAUUUCCCUAGGGGCUCUCAUGGGCAUCACAGCAGGACAAACAAUGUCAGUCAUCAUCUUCCUCUUCAUCAUCGUCAUCAUGGCACAACCUGUUUUGCUCUGUCUGCAGAACAGUGCAUCAGGUCGUGACUUGAUGGCACACGAGAGGAGCGGGCAGC